UAUGUCUGACUACAUACAUGUCUUAUUGUUGUUUUGAGAUAGGGCCUUACAAGAUAGGCCAGGCUAUAGUCAAAUUUACCAUCCUCUUGCCUCAGCCUUCUGAGCAGUAUAAUUAAAAUACCCAUUGCCAGCUUGUACAAUGUUUUCAAUUAAGAAAAUGCCUAGACACUUUUCAAAUGUCUCAAGUAAAGCAAUGUCCAUUUUAGUAUGCAAAUACUUUAGUGUAUCAUGAAAUAUUUACAAAAAGUAUUUCAAACAAGGUUAAUUUCUUAAACUCUGGCCUUUUGUUAGUUUGGUUUUGAGACAGAGUUUGAUGUAGCCCAGGCUGGCCUGGGACUCCCUUUGUAAAUGAGGAUAGCCUUGCAGCACUGAUCCCCUGCCUCUAUGUCCUGAGCAUUAGAAUUCCAGGUGAGUGACACUGCACCUUGUUUCUAUGCAGUACUGGGAACUAAAUCCAGAGCUUCAUGCAUGCUAGCAAAGCAGUCUACCAGUGAGCUGCCUCCCCAGCCCAAACUGUUCUGCACUGUUCACUGCCUGCCAAACAGGGGAAUGACCCCGGGGAUCUUCAAUGGGAACUAAAGCCUUCAGUGCAUCAUGCUGCAGCUUCCUGCUUCUACUGCUAUGCCUGCCUCAUGCAGCCAUGCCUCCACAUCAGGAUGACCUCUUAUGCUUCUGGAAGUAAAAGCCCCAAAACAAUCUUCUAUAAGCUCUCCUGGUCAAGGGGUGAUGAUCAGAAUGGUCUCAAGCAACACCAGAAUUUCCACACCAAAGCAGAAGGCUUAUGAACUCAAGGACCAAAAAGUCCAGCCAAGCAGCUAUUGAAGCUAAAACUAAAGGCAGAUUCAUCAGUGCAGCCAAAUCCCCACUGAAUCUAAUGGAAGAGAAAGCAGGAAAGAGCCUCAAACUCAUGGGAAUGGGGAUAAAUAUCAUAAACGAACUCCAAUAGCUCAGGUUCUAACAUCAAAAUUUAUAAAUGGGCCACAAGAAACUGAAAAGCUUCU